UUCUUGGUCCAUUAGAGGAAGUAAAAGUCGUAACAAGGUUUCCGUAGGUGAACCUGCGGAAGGAUCAUUAUCUAUUCAUGAGGUGCGGUCGCGGCCCUCGGCGGGAGCAACAGCUACCGUCGGGCGGUAGAGGUAACACUUUCACGCGCCGCAUGUCUGAAUCCUUUUUUUACGAGCACCUUUCGUUCUCCUUCGGCGGGGCAACCUGCCGUUGGAACCUAUCAAAACCUUUUUUUGCAUCUAGCAUUACCUGUUCUGAUACAAACAAUCGUUACAACUUUCAACAAUGGAUCUCUUGGCUCUGGCAUCGAUGAAGAACGCAGCGAAAUGCGAUAAGUAGUGUGAAUUGCAGAAUUCAGUGAAUCAUCGAAUCUUUGAACGCACAUUGCGCCCCUUGGUAUUCCAUGGGGCAUGCCUGUUCGAGCGUCAUCUACACCCUCAAGCUCUGCUUGGUGUUGGGCGUCUGUCCCGCCUCUGCGCGCGGACUCGCCCCAAAUUCAUUGGCAGCGGUCCUUGCCUCCUCUCGCGCAGCACAUUGCGCUUCUCGAGGUGCGCGGCCCGCGUCCACGAAGCAACAUUACCGUCUUUGACCUCGGAUCAGGUAGGGAUACCCGCUGAACUUAAGCAU
rnacentral:rRNA from 1 species